rnacentral:rRNA from 1 species
GAUGAACGCUGGCGGCGUGCCUAAUACAUGCAAGUCGAGCGAAUGGAUUAAGAGCUUGCUCUUAUGAAGUUAGCGGCGGACGGGUGAGUAACACGUGGGUAACCUGCCCAUAAGACUGGGAUAACUCCGGGAAACCGGGGCGAAUACCGGAUAACAUUUUGAACCGCAUGGUUCGAAAUUGAAAGGCGGCUUCGGCUGUCACUUAUGUAUGGACCCGCGUCGCAUUAGCUAGUUGGUGAGGUAACGGCUCACCAAGGCAACGAUGCGUAGCCGACCUGAGAGGGUGAUCGGCCACACUGGGACUGAGACACGGCCCAGACUCCUACGGGAGGCAGCAGUAGGGAAUCUUCCGCAAUGGACGAAAGUCUGACGGAGCAACGCCGCGUGAGUGAUGAAGGCUUUCGGGUCGUAAAACUCUGUUGUUAGGGAAGAACAAGUGCUAGUUGAAUAAGCUGACACCUUGACGGUACCUAACCAGAAAGCCACGGCUAACUACGUGCCAGCCGCCGCAGUAA